rnacentral:rRNA from 1 species
CGCCUCUUGCAAAACUAAAGAAUAAGAGGUCCCGCCUGCCCUGUGACUAUAAGUUUAACGGCCGCGGUAUUUUGACCGUGCGAAGGUAGCGCAAUCACUUGUCUUUUAAAUGAAGACCUGUAUGAAUGGCACCACGAGGGCUUAGCUGUCUCCUUUUUCAAGUCAAUGAAAUUGAUCUCCCCGUGCAGAAGCGGGGAUAUAUACAUAAGACGAGAAGACCCUAUGGAGCUUUAGACGCCAAGACAGAUCAUGUUAAACACCCCUGGAUAAAGGGUUAAACCAAAUGAGCCCUGUCCUAAUGUCUUUGGUUGGGCGACCGCGGGGAAACAUAAAACCCCCACGUGGAAUGGGAGUACCACCUCCUACAGCUAAGAGCUCCCGCUCUAGCAAACAGAAAUUCUGACCAAUAAGAUCCGGCAACGCCGAUCAACGGACCGAGUUACCCUAGGGAUAACAGCGCAAUCCCCUUUUAGAGCCCAUAUCGACAAGGGGGUUUACGACCUCGAUGUUGGAUCAGGACAUCCUAAUGGUGCAGCCGCUAUUAAGGGUUCGUUUGUUCAACGAUUAAAGCCCUACGUGAUCUGAGUUCAGACCGGAGAAAUCCAGGUCAGUUUCUAUCUAUGAUAUGAUCUUUUCUAGUACGAAAGGACCGAAAAGAAGAGGCCUAUACUUAAGGUACGCCUCACCCCCACCUAAUGAAGACAACUAAAAUAGGCAAAAGGGCAUACCCCUGUGCCUGAGAAAAUGGCAU